GCCGCCGCGGUCGCCAUGGCGAUCUGCCCCGCAGCCAACCGCGCGCCGCUUCCGGUGACGUCAGCGCCGACACGUGGAUGCAAGAUGGCGGCGUCGGCGGCGAUGGAAAGGCUAAGGUAUAUGCUGGUCUUGCUGUUGUUGCUGCAUGGUACAGACUCGUUCUAUGUACCUGGGGUGGCUCCUAUCAACUUCCACCGCAAUGAUCCUGUAGAAAUAAAGGCUGUGAAGCUCACCAGCUCCCGGACCCAGCUGCCCUACGAGUACUACUCGCUGCCCUUCUGCCAGCCCAGCAAGAUAACCUACAAGGCUGAGAACCUCGGUGAGGUUCUUCGUGGGGACCGAAUUGUAAAUACGCCUUUCCAGGUUUCCAUGAACGUGGAGAAGAAAUGUGAAGUUCUGUGUAACUUUCCCAACAAGCCAGUCAUUCUGACAGUGGAGCAGAGCAAGCUGAUCGCCGAGCGCAUCAGGGAGGAUUACUACGUCCACCUCAUUGCUGAUAACCUCCCUGUGGCAACACGGCUGGAGUUUUAUUCCAAUCGUGAGGAAGAGGAGAAGAAGAAGGAGAAGGAUGUGCAGUUCGAGCACGGAUAUAGGCUUGGGUUUAUGGACGGUAACAAGUUCUACCUGCACAACCACCUCUCCUUCAUCCUUUACUACCACAGAGAGGAUGUGGAAGAGAGCCAGGAGCACACCUACAGGGUGGUGCGCUUUGAGGUGAUUCCCCAAAGCAUUAAACUGGAAGACUUGAAGGCUGAUGAGAAGAGCAUGUGUACCCUGCCCGAAGCCACGGGCUCUGCCCCUCAGGAAAUAGAUCCCACUAAAGAGAACCAGUUGCUCUUCACCUACUCUGUGCACUGGGAGGAGAGUGACAUCAAGUGGGCUUCCCGCUGGGACACGUACCUGACCAUGAGUGACGUGCAGAUCCACUGGUUUUCUAUCAUCAACUCAGUUGUGGUUGUGUUUUUCCUUUCAGGGAUUCUCAGCAUGAUCAUCAUCCGGACUCUGCGGAAGGACAUUGCCAACUACAACAAGGAAGAUGACAUUGAAGAUACUAUGGAGGAAUCGGGUUGGAAACUUGUGCAUGGGGAUGUCUUCAGGCCUCCACAGUAUCCUAUGAUCCUCAGCUCUCUCCUGGGUUCUGGAAUUCAGCUCUUUUGUAUGAUCCUGAUUGUCAUCUUUGUUGCUAUGCUGGGGAUGCUGUCGCCUUCGAGCCGGGGCGCGCUGAUGACAACUGCCUGCUUCCUCUUCAUGUUCAUGGGGGUUUUUGGUGGAUUCUUUGCUGGCCGCUUGUACCGGACUCUGAAAGGCCAUCGGUGGAAGAAGGGAGCCUUUUGUACAGCGACCCUGUACCCGGGCGUCGUCUUCGGCAUCUGCUUCGUCCUGAACUGUUUCAUCUGGGGGAAACACUCCUCUGGUGCGGUGCCUUUCCCUACCAUGGUGGCCUUGCUCUGCAUGUGGUUUGGGAUCUCCUUGCCCUUGGUCUACUUGGGUUACUACUUUGGAUUUCGCAAGCAGCCAUAUGACAAUCCUGUACGGACAAAUCAGAUUCCCAGGCAGAUCCCGGAGCAGAGGUGGUACAUGAAUAAAUUUGUGGGGAUCCUCAUGGCUGGUAUUCUGCCUUUUGGAGCCAUGUUCAUCGAACUGUUCUUCAUUUUCAGUGCAAUCUGGGAGAACCAGUUCUAUUACCUUUUCGGCUUUCUCUUCCUGGUGUUUAUAAUUCUGGUGGUAUCCUGCUCCCAGAUCAGCAUUGUCAUGGUGUACUUCCAGCUCUGUGCUGAGGAUUACCGCUGGUGGUGGAGGACCUUCCUGGUGUCAGGGGGAUCUGCCUUCUACGUGCUGAUCUACGCUGUAUUCUACUUUGUGAACAAGCUGGAUAUUGUUGAGUUCAUUCCCUCCUUGCUGUACUUUGGCUACACCGCCCUCAUGGUCCUGUCCUUCUGGCUCCUCACGGGCACCAUCGGCUUCUACGCAGCCUACAUGUUCGUCCGGAAAAUCUACGCCGCCGUGAAGAUCGACUGAAGCUGCAGAGCCCCAGCAGGAAUCAGACGCCUCCGAACGCGUGUCCUCCCGGGAGUGACGUGGACAUCUUCUCCCAGCUCUUUUAAGGAAACGAAAUCCAGUGGGAGAGUGACAAGAGAAACAGUUAACUCCUCGAUUUGGAAUGUAACUUUGGCACAGUGUACAUGGAUUCUGGGCUACUUCUGGGGGAAAAGGGGUCUGUAGAUACCUUACAUUUUAACUUUAUUAUCCUGUUCCAUAUUUGAGGGAGUUUUUUUAGCAGAGAAAUAUCCCUCUGUAUAAGUAAAACCCCCUUUUUGCUAAUUCAUCCUUUUUUUUUUAUGUUGAUGACGAAUGGAUUUGAAACAGCAGUAGAAACACUUGUGAAAACGUUUUCUUCCAGCCCCUGGGUGCUCUAGGAUUCAGGGAGACUCUUCAGAUGAGCAUCAAACUGCGUUUUUCUCCUGCCUUCAUGUCUGCACAGAAGAGGGAGCUUGACUAUGGCAAAAUAACCGGAGCCUAAAGGCUCACCCAGCGGGAGCCCGGUGUGCUCCGACCACCGAAGUCCUGGCUUCGGCUUGUUUACAAUUUGCUGGAGGUGCCAUUCGGAGCCUGGGAAGUGCAAUUUCACCCUGAGAGAGCUUGACAACUGCAACCCUCGGCAUCGCUGCUCCCUCCCUCCAGCCUCGGACAGCACGGGCCGCUGCGGACACCUCUGCUGGAAGGGCUGAGGGGAGGGUGGGAUUGCCUCUCCUUCGGAAGGCAGGAUAUAACGUCCGUGGUUGUGCUGGAAUACGGGACUGGAAGGAUGUGUGAGAUUGAGUGUAUUCAUGUCCUGUCACAGCCCUCAGCUCCGGGGGAAAGCUGCUGAGGAAAGGGCACGUUUCACCGGCAGCUGCUUUAGGAAUGAAAACCAGAUCAUACCUAGAGAAAAGCACCUGAACACUGAUUCGUGGCUGUCAGCUUUUAAUCUGUGUUCUGAAGGAGAAUCCCGAGAGGGGAGGGUGUGCUUCACCCUUUUUCAUCUCCAAAUGCUUGGUGGUGCCUGCAGCUGCUCAUAGCUUAAGGUUUGGUCCUGGUUCUGCUGCCCUUGGGGAAUGGAGCAUGUUGGGGUUAUUUGGGAGGGGGUGUGGGCUGGACUCGUCUGAAAUGCUGCCACAUGGGCUGGAAAUUCUAGUGAAACCAAGUGACCAGAGCUUUCUGUCUAACAAACAUUAUUCUUCUGACAGGGGAUUAUGGUGUUGGCUGUGGCUGCAUCCCCAGGGGGGUGCUGGGUCUUUUUUUGCAGGGGUGUAAUUCUUUGCUUGAAAGACAAACCCGUGUGGCUUCAUGCAGGGAACUGUGUCUUUGACCUGCUUUAGGAUUCUGUCUUUACUUCAACCAACCAAACCCCAAUUCCUCCCCAAGAAGAUGCCCGGGACAGAUCAUCCAAAUGCUUUUAAUAAACAACUUCAUUAUAAAAAAAUGCUUUCAAUUUGAGCUUCAUUUGCAAGAGCUAAUUUUAGUGAUGAACCGUACAUUUCCUAAUGGCACUUAAUUACAAUUUAAAAACCUUGUUUACAGCCCCCAAAAUACUCCAUUAAAAGAGGUUAUUCACUGUGUGUAAAAGUGCUAGAAAGUUUGUUUUUAGAAAACCAAUUGAGCUUUAACAAUGGGAAGUUUCUGGCUUUGGCAGCUGUAGCUGCAGGGAGGGAGGUCAGGCACAGGGCCUGUCCAGAUCCAGCACAAGAAGGGACAGCGUGAACAGCAGCCUCGGGGAGGGAGACCACAGCUCUUCCACCCACUCCCAGGGCUAAUCCCCAAACCCUUCACCUUCCAAGGGCAUGUCCACUGGCUCGUGGGGGAGAUGGCAGAGCUUGUGCCUGGGAGAGGGUUCUUAAAAUGACUUGUGGUUGCAAAGGUCCCUCAGUAGCUUUUCCUCCAGCAGCAGUUUUGGAGCUCAGCUGCUCCAGGGGUGAGUCUUUGUGGUUCCACAGGUUCCUUUUUGUGCCUCUUGGAGCACCUCGGCAGACAGUUCUUGUGUUCCUCAUCAGUAUCCUCAUUUAAGAAAAACACUGGUACACAUGUUAUAAAACCACCUUUCUAAAAAUUGUUCCUAGGUAUGAGUGGGAAAAUCCCACGAAGCAUCAAGGCUGAGGCACUCAGCAGGGUGAGGAGAUCUCAAACUCCAGAGAGGCUUCUAGCAGAAGUUAUGGGAUGUGCUGGAGUUUGCAGGCUCCUGCACCCUUCUGCUGAGGACCAUAAGCAAAGCUUGUGUUACCUUCAAGUGCAAGACACUGACUACAGAAGGAAAAGGGCUGCAGGCAGGUCUGUGGUCUGUUCACCUGGAUGACAGAGGUGUGUCUGUCCCUGUCCCACAGGCUUUGGAGCCGUCCCCUGCCCACUCAGUACAUUCUGUGGUAGAGCUGGUUAUCCACUUGCAUUGUAGUUUAAAACAAAGACACAGUUUGUGAUCAGAGGGUGAGACUGAAGGUGAAGAGAGGUGUGAAAGUGAGGGACAGCUGGUUUUUAAUGAGACACUUUAAUGUUGAGGAUUCUUCCCCUAACUGAAAAUUAAGAACUGACCUAUUUAAUAGUAUAAAAAAACCCAGAUUACAAAUUCCCUAUUUUUUAUCAUUCGCCAAUGCCUUUAACUUUCCUUGUCACUGUGAUCUCCUGAUACAGAGAAGCUCCCUCUGUGUCAUGUAUGUACUUUGUGCAUGCUCAUAUUUAGGCACUGGUGGAAAAGACAGCACACACCAAGCUUCAGCCAUGAGCACGCAGUGAAGAAGGU